AAGCCCACCUGAAGAUAAGAUCUCCCUGAAGAGCCCGAGAAGAUGACUCGGUUGAUAGGUCACAGAUGUAAGUUCGGUUAACGGAUUCAGUCGAGUGAUACUAAUAGCUCGUUCGGCUUGACCAU
rnacentral:rRNA from 1 species